AUUAAGCUGAAGAGUUUCAAAUAGGACGAAAUGUGCAUCCUGGAU
rnacentral:hammerhead_ribozyme from 1 species